rnacentral:rRNA from 1 species
GAUGAACGCUAGCGGCAGGCCUAACACAUGCAAGUCGAGGGGUAGAGGAAGCUUGCUUCCUUGAGACCGGCGCACGGGUGCAUAACGCGUAUGCAAUCUACCUUGUACAGAGGGAUAGCCCAGAGAAAUUUGGAUUAAUACCUCAUAGUAUUAUUGAAUGGCAUCAUUUAAUAAUUAAAGUUCCAACGGUACAAGAUGAGCAUGCGUCCUAUUAGCUAGUUGGUGUGGUAACGGCAUACCAAGGCUACGAUAGGUAGGGGUCCUGAGAGGGAGAUCCCCCACACUGGUACUGAGACACGGACCAGACCCCUACGGGAGGCAGCAGUGAGGAAUAUUGGACAAUGGGCGCAAGCCUGAUCCAGCCAUGCCGCGUGCAGGAAGACGCAUCUAUGGUGUGUAAACUGCUUUUGUACGGGAAGAAACACUCCCUCGUGAGGGAGCUUGACGGUACCGUAAGAAUAAGGAUCGGCUAACUCCGUGCCAGCCGCCGCCGUAAAAC